UACGUAGGGGGCAAGCGUUGUCCGGAAUUAUUGGGCGUAAAGCGCGCGCAGGCGGUUUCUUAAGUCUGAUGUGAAAGCCCACGGCUCAACCGUGGAGGGUCAUUGGAAACUGGGGAACUUGAGUGCAGAAGAGAAAAGCGGAAUUCCACGUGUAGCGGUGAAAUGCGUAGAGAUGUGGAGGAACAUCAGUGGCGAAGGCGGCUUUUUGGUCUGUAAACUGACGCUGGAGGCGCGAAAGCGUGGGGAGCAAACAGG
rnacentral:rRNA from 1 species